ensembl:lncRNA
CCCAGGCAUGGGUCUCCUGGGCCUGGGGGCCCUGGCUGAAGGGGACAGGACCCAGGAGCAGUGCUGACCCACCAGCCCAGCCGUGAUGUGACCUCAGGCACUUCACAGCCCUUCCUCUUCUGUGAAGUGGGAUCCUAGCAAACCCAAGACCUCGCCCUGUGAGGCGUGCAGGGGUCACACAGGCCCUCAGGAAUUUCCAGGCGACCUGGCCCACCUGGCGGCGACCUAACCUGCCUCCUCCAGGUCCAGCUGCCCUGCGACAUUGACCAGGAAGUGCCCCCCAGCCAGCCCCGCCCAGCAAUUAUUUAUCGAGCAUUCUGGCUCUGUGGCCUCUGCUCCUAGGCUGGUCUCUCCACACCCCCUCUAAGCUGCUUCCCUAUCCCUAAACGGGAGAGAGAAUUACGCCCGCCUCUCGGGCUGUUGGCAGGGUUCCCGCAAGGUGACACCUGUCAGGUGCUGGGCGGAGGGAGGUGCUUAGUGAGAGGGGGCCACUUAGCCUUCAGAGCACUCCACCGUCUGGCUCGGUGGAGGAGACAGACGGAACAGGGACAGAGGACACUGUGACAGCACUUCCCAGCCUUUGGAGGAAGGGAUGCAGGCUCAGUGGGCUCUAGCCACACCCCCCAGAAUGCCUUGCGGGUCUGUAGAGCCUGGAUUUUAGGGAUGGGCCAGAGGUAAGAAGGAUUCUACCAAGGUCUCCCCUUGUCUGUGACUGAGGUCAGAUGAGGUCACCAGGCCUCCUACCAGCUCUGUCCAUGGGUCUUUCUGGUGCCCCAGACUGGAAAUCAGGCCUGCAGGAAACCCAGGGUGUGGCAGUGACAGCAUCUGACACCUCUGCCCCCAUCUUCCUCUCUCCUUCCUCUUCCUCCCCUGACCCCUACUGUCCCUCCUCUUCAGCGCAGAGAAAGGAGGUGACUCUGCCACCGUCAGAAGCUGCCCUAGAACCAGGGUUCCCAGAUCCUUGGUCCCCUCCACCCACUGGACACUGGGCUACAGCAAAGAAGCCAUGGGCCACGCCUCCUGUGAUGAGGAUGCUGGGAGUAUGCUGGAUCUGAAUGCAGCUUGGACAGAGGUCUCCCUGUGUCUCUCAGACACUGCAGUCCAGGUGUGGCAGUGGCUGCAGACGUUGCCAGGGUCCAGGCUCACUCAGCAGCCGUGGGUUAGAUUCAGCUCCUCACCGGCUGAUGGACCAAGGGCCUCAGUUCCCUGCCCUGUGACCUCUCCAUAGGGCAGUUCAUGGCAGGGCAGCCAGCUUUGUGGACUAAGCAAGGGAGAAAAGCUGGAGGGAACAAGAUGGAAGUCUUGGUCCUAUAGAACCUAACGUCAAGAGCAACGUCCAUCACGCUUGCUGUGUUCUGUGGGUCAGAACCAGUCACCAGACCCAGCCCAGCAUCAGGGGGUGGGGAACACCCGGAGCUUAGAACCCCAGGAGGCGGGGACUCUUAGGGUCACAUUAGAAGGCUGCGACCACAGUAGUGACCCCAAAGGCUUUGUUGGGUUUUGGGGGUUUUUGUUUGUUUGUUUGUUUUGUGUUUUUUUGGCCAUGUCCAUGCAUGUGGACAUUCCUGGGCCAGCUAUCAAACAGGAGCCGCAGCAGUGACAAUGCCAAGUCCUUAACCAUUGGGCCACCAGGGCACUCCAAGAAAGGCUUCUUUUUAAUGUUCAGUCCUGUGCCACUCAGAUCGUCUCCCACAUCAACUUCCUCACCUGGUUCUCACCCACCCUUGGGGACGAGACAGCUGUGACUGUCCCCAAGGUCAGAGGGCUCCGUGACUUUCCUCCCAAAGUUGCAUCACUAAUAGGCUGAAGGACUGUCAGCCAAGCCCGGAGCAUAG